UUGCCUGCAGAAAACAAAUCAUUGACUCAUUAGAGCUUCACAAAGUCUUGUUGCCUUAAAACCUCAAACCUUAUACUCAGCAUGACCACCUUGCGCGGGAAGUGAUUGAUUAAUCAGUUAUCACGAUCGGGAAGUUAUGGAACGUGGAAAGUUACAAAGGAUAAUAAAAAAACCUGGCAAGACAAAGAUUAAGGAAUGAUUUUCAAAUAAUUACAUGCAGAAAAGGAAUGCUGAAAUAUUAGAAGUACUUGACUACAGUAAAUUAGACUUUCAGAGGUCACCUCAAAUUGAUUUUAAAAUGUCACAAAAGGGUACAUUCAAUAAAUUAUUUAAUACCAGAACAAUUAUUUUCAACACACAAAAAUAUCGUUGUUUAUUAUGAAACAGAUGAGACAAGUUUCUAAUAACAAAGAGCAAUAGUUGCCAUCAGGAUAAAAUAAAUGCAUGGUUUAUAUGAACUUUAGUACCAAUCCUACCAAUAUUUAUGGACAUGCUACAGUGUUGCUGGUAGUCUCACUGCCUGAUUCUGUUUUCAUUAAAGCUCCCGUAUAGGGCUGCCAGUAUAAAGAGGCCUUGAACUGGGCACAAGUUAAAUUCAUAUCUGUUGUUAGGCUCCUUUACUAUGCUGUAUUGGUGUAAAGGGGUCUGCUUACAUCAGUGGGACAAGUCAGGCAGGCAUAUUCCUGUUUUCUCAUGAAUAACCAGAACAAGUGCCUAUGGACCACCAUAACAUUAGGAUAUGGUAAAAAACUAUUUCAUGAAACAAAUCAUCAUUUAUCGUUUACAUUUUGAAUUAGUGGCAUCAUGAAGUUAAAAUAAGUUGACAGACUCCAAUAAAAACAGUAAUUAAAAAACAAAAAUACAAAAUCCAGUAACAUGUUCUGGAGAAA